rnacentral:rRNA from 1 species
CCUACGGGAGGCAGCAGUGGGGAAUAUUGGUCAAUGGACGCAAGUCUGAACCAGCCAUGCCGCGUGCAUGAAGACGGCUUUCUGAGUUGUAAGCUGUUUCUGUACGGGGGAAAACGCGGAUACGUGUGUCCGUCUGAAAGUAUCGUACGAAUAAGGAGCGGCUAACUCCGUGCCAGCACCCGCGGUAAUACGGAGGAUUCAAGCGUUAUCCGGAUUUAUUGGGUUUAAAGGGUGCGUAGGCGGUCGGAUAAGUUAGAGGUGAAAUCCCGGGGCUCAACUUCGGAAGUGCCUGUGAUACUGGUCGGCUGGAGUGUAGUAGAGGUAGGUGGAAUUGAUGGUGUAGCGGUGAAAUGCUUAGAGAUCA